rnacentral:tRNA from 1 species
GUUCCGUUGGACUUUUGGUAAGGUCAGUAGGCUUUCAACCUACGCAAGCUCGGUUCGAAUCCGGCACGGAACUCCA